rnacentral:lncRNA from 1 species
GAAAUCUUACCGAAAAUGUGCGAAUGACAGAAAUGAAAAGUAAAUCGAUUGAAAGAAAACGACGAAACAAAAAAAUGACAUAAAUGAAGAACAAAAUGGACCAAACAGUAGAGCCAGAGAGGGAUGGCAAAAACUAGCGUCAGAAAACUUGGAGGAGAGGGAGAACCAAAAUUUUUUUAAAAGAAAAAAAACAAAAAAAUAAAAUUUGAAUAACCCCAAAAUCUCAACUUCUCACUAUCAUCUCAACCACAACUACCCACUCCCUUAGACUCCCAAUCCAAUCCAAACUCUCUCAACCAAAUGAGGCAAAAAUUAAACUCACGCUCACGCAGGGGUUCAAACACAGGACCUCCAACACAUUAACUCCUUACGACUCGAACCAGUAGGCUUAUUCUAAUAUGGAUUAACAAACAACUUAACAUAAGCCCAUUCCAUAAGAGUAAAGCUUGGAUCAAAAUAACAAAAUUUGGCAACAAUGAGACUUGAACCCAAUACCUCACACACG